rnacentral:tRNA from 1 species
GGGUCGUUAGCUCAGUUGGUAGAGCAGUUGACUUUUAAUUCAAUUGGUCGCAGGUUCGAAUCCUGCACGACCCACCA